AAAGUGAUUACUCAACGUUUCGUCGCUCAAUAACGCACCGUGCCGCUUUAAAAAGGGUGAAAAAUGUGUUUUUCGUGCUAACAAAGGCCAUAAACGAGCCACCGGUUGCAGCCGGAUUCGUUAAAUACUACAACUAUCUCUAUUUAUCCGAGCGUAUCGAUUCGGUAAAGGUCAAAUCAGUGGCGGCUCGGGAGGACGGCAUGAACCGGAAAAUUUCUUCGGAGACGCUAGUGCGGUUGUCACGACGCCAAGGCGCAUCAUGAAACCACCACGGCGAGCACAAGGCAAAUCAUUCACCGCCCCGGGGAGAGAUGAGAUGAUAAGGUGGCAGCGAACGCGAUGUUCACGGACACCAU